rnacentral:rRNA from 2 species
CAGGUCUUGACAUCCCCUGAGUAGCCUGGAGACAGGUGAUGCCCUUUGGGGCAGGGAGACAGGUGGUGCAUGGUUGUCGUCAGCUCGUGUCGUGAGAUGUUGGGUUAAGUCCCGCAACGAGCGCAACCCUUACUAUUAGUUGCUACGCAAGAGCACUCUAAUGGGACUGCCGUUGACAAAACGGAGGAAGGUGGGGAUGACGUCAAAUCAUCAUGCCCUUUAUGACCUGGGCUACACACGUAAUACAAUGGCGCUUAACAGAGGGAAGCGAAGGAGCGAUCCGGAGCAAAUCCCCAAAAAGCGUCUCAGUUCGGAUCGCAGGCUGCAACCCGCCUGCGUGAAGUCGGAAUUGCUAGUAAUCGCGGAUCAGCAUGCCGCGGUGAAUACGUUCCC